rnacentral:rRNA from 1 species
GACGAACGCUGGAGGCGUGCUUAACACAUGCAAGUCGAACGAAGUGGCGAACGGGUGAGUAACGCGUAAUCAACCUGCCCUUCAGAGGGGGACAAAAGUUGGAACCACCUGCUAAUACCCCAUACUGCAGGAGUAGGUUGCGUCUGAGUAGCUAGUUGGAGGGGUAACGGCCCACCAAGGCGAGGAUCCGUAGCCGGUCUGAGAGGAUGAACGGCCACAUUGGGACUGAGACACGGCCCAGACUCCUACGGGAGGCAGCAGUGGGGAAUCUUCCGCAAUGGACGAAAGUCUGACGGAGCAACGCCGCGGGAGUGAUGACGGCCUUCGGGUUGUAAAGCUCUGUUAAUCGGGACGCGGUACCGGAAUAGAAAGCCACGGCUAACUACGUGCCAGCAGCCGCGGUAAUUC